AGAGUUUGAUCAUGGCUCAGGACAAACGCUGGCGGCGUGCCUAACACAUGCAAGUCGAGCGUGAAAAGGGCUUCGGCCCUGAGUAAAGCGGCGAACGGGUGAGUAACACGUGGGUAACCUGCCUCAAGGACUGGGAUAACCCCGGGAAACCGGGGCUAAUACCGGACGAUGUCGUCUCGCGCAAGCGAGCCGACCAAAGGUAGCUUCGGCCUCUGCCUUGAGAUGGGCCCGCGUCCUAUCAGCUUGUUGGUGAGGUAACGGCUCACCAAGGCUACGACGGGUAGCUGGUCUGAGAGGAUGAUCAGCCACACUGGGACUGAGAUACGGCCCAGACUCCUACGGGAGGCAGCAGUGGGGAAUCUUGCGCAAUGGGCGAAAGCCUGACGCAGCAACGCCGCGUGAGCGAAGAAGGCCUUCGGGUUGUAAAGCUCUGUCAGGGGGAAAGAAGGCACCUGGGUUAAUAGCCCAAGGAUUGACGGUACCCCCAAAGGAAGCCACGGCUAACUACGUGCCAGCAGCCGCGGUAAUACGUAGGUGGCAAGCGUUGUCCGGAAUCAUUGGGCGUAAAGCGCGCGUAGGUGGCUUGUCAGGUCUGAUGUGAAAACUUGGGGCUCAACCCCAAGCCUGCAUCGGAAACCGGCUUGCUAGAGUCUGGGAGAGGAGAGUGGAAUUCCUGGUGUAGCGGUGAAAUGCGUAGAUAUCAGGAGGAACACCGGUAGCGAAGGCGGCUCUCUGGAACAGUACUGACACUGAGGCGCGAAAGCUAGGGGAGCGAACAGGAUUAGAUACCCUAGUAGUCC
rnacentral:rRNA from 1 species